rnacentral:rRNA from 1 species
CCUACGGGAGGCAGCAGUGAGGAAUAUUGCACAAUGGGGGAAACCCUGAUGCAGCAACGCCGCGUGAAGGAUGAAGGCUUUCGAGUUGUAAACUUCUUUUCUGGGGGAAGAGGAAGGACGGUACUCCAGGAAUAAGACACGGCUAACUACGUGCCAGCAGCCGCGGUAAUACGUAGGUGUCGAGCGUUAUCCGGAAUUACUGGGCGUAAAGGGCACGCAGGCGGCUGCUCAAGUCCGGCGUGAAAACUCCCGGCUAAACUGGGAGAGGCCGUUGGAAACUGAGGAGCUUGAGGCAAGGAGAGGGAUGCGGAAUUCCCGGUGUAGUGGUGGAAUGCGUAGAUAUCGGGAAGAACACCAGUGGCGAAAGCGGCAUCCUGGCCUUGAACUGACGCUAAUGUGCGAAAGCGUGGGUAGCGAACGGGAUUAGAUACCCCGGUAGUCCACGCUGUAAACGAUGUGAACUAGGUGUAGGUGGUAUUGACCCCAUCUGUGCCGAAGCCAACGCGAUAAGUUCACCGCCUGGGGAGGUACGGCCGCGAGACGUAACGUACGAAAGAAGUAGACGGCGNGAAGACGUGCGAACGACGACGACGAGGGAGGAGG